GAAAUAAGUUUUUUUUUAAGGCAUCUGCAUAGCAAGCAUUAUUCUCUUCAUGGCAUUUUACAUCAUGUUAGGAGGAUGUUUUUCCAUAUCAUUCAUUACCAUUUGAUCUGUUUCUCCCUUGUUUUUUGGCAACAUAAUUUGAAUUUUGAGAGGUACUCUAUAUAUGAUCGUGUGGUUUAGGAUAUUUGCAUUUUCUCAAGUAUGAUUCUGUUUAGUGAGGGGUGAGUAAGCCUAGGAGUCACUAUCUUGUGUACGGGGAUUUCUUUUGAAAUUUUAUUCCAUUUUGUAUACAUGUUAAUUUUCUUCUCCCUUGAUUGCGAUUGCUUGUAUGGUGGGGUGGUUGCUAUGCCGUGCUCU
rnacentral:misc_RNA from 1 species